GGUGCUGGGAGCAGACCAUCCCCUUCAGCAUGGUGCCUGCUCCCGGUGGCCUGGCUGCCCAGCUGCGGGGCAGAGCCAAUUAGCCUUGGUGGAGCACCCUGAUGACGCACCUCUACAGCAUCUUGUUUUGGAGUUAGCCUGGCAGGAGUGCAACACUGAGCUCUGCAGUCAUAUCCUACAUUUUACUAUAGCUUUAUAUGAGUAAUAAAGCAGGUAGCUAAACCAACGCUAUUUAAAAUAUGUAAUAACACCAAGUGACACAAAAACCAGAACAAACACCGUGGGACCCCAGUCUGGGGCCAGUACUGUAUUCAGUAAUCGUCAAGGCAGUUUGACAUGUGUGCUUGUAAGCAGCAUAGGAGUGUUGUCAGCAUGGUUUAUCAUACUAUCCUUUUCGCUUCUUCUGUUUUUCAUAUUUUUUCAGGAAGAAUUACUGGAGGUUAUUUUUCACUGUUCCCUUAGUAAGGUUUCGGCAAAGAUCCUCAAAGCCCUGUUAUCCUGCAUGAUUCCACAUAUGAAUUCCCAACUCUGAUCUCAGCACCUAUUGCAGACGGAUAACCCUUCGCGCACACGCUGCAGGCAUUACCUAGGCGCCAUGCAGACGUCUCAGUGACCACCGGCACUUAAAAGCACUGGCCUGCUCAUCCUAACACACUUCACCCGUGCACUGUGUCAGCUCCCGAGUGUCCGUUGCCAGGUGAGCUCUUCCUGGCAAGUGUCCGCUGAAGAGGAUAUAGAUUCUCACUGAAGCUUUAGGGUUCUGCUCAAGUGAUGUAGUACAUCGUUCUGCAUAG
rnacentral:lncRNA from 1 species